GGUAAGGUGGCAAUAGUAAGCGGUGGAUUGUAAUUCUGCUUAUGGAGGUUGUAAGUCCUCUCCUUUCCA
rnacentral:tRNA from 1 species